ACAUAAACAUACCGAAAAGCAUUUUCACUGAGAUAAUUGGAGGUUAUCUCAAAGCAAACGUCAGUCAUGAGUCGAUUUGUUUGCAAACUAAUUUAUAAAAUUCAUAGUGAACUUCAUUAGUUCACAUAUUGAAUAUAUAAAAAAUGAUUGCUGUCGGAUACGUGUUAACCAUGACUAUGAAAGUAUUAAUAGUACAAUUUUGUACAUAUAUAUUACAAUGUAUUGAACUGCAAAAUUGUAGCACUGUAAUAUUAUAAAUAAGAUGCAUUCCGUUAUUAGGCUCGAUUAAUUAAAAUGGAACGUAUCGAACUGAAAUGAAAUUUUACAAGUCAAUAGACUCCGAACGAUUGCAUCAAAUUUUGUGAAAUCGUCCAUUCCAUAUGCGAAAAUUUGCUAUUUAAAUUCGGCGAGCAACUUGGGUAAAGAUAACAGUAAGAAAGUACGCAAGGAGAUCGAUUAAAAUGGACCAUCCUGUACAACUGUCGCAAUGCGUAGAAAAGAUGUACAUACAUUAUAGAAUGUCCCGUGGAACACGCGAUAAAAUCUAAAAUUGCGAAGAGAAAGAAAGAGAUCAGCGGAAAUCGACUUGGAACAAUACAGGGGAGCGCGAGAGAAGGAUAGAGAGGGAGGCCGCGGCUCGCCAUGUUCCGUCAACCCUUAGAUUUAGUGACUGUAAGUGCUGAUGUAGAAGUGUCACCCUCUCUAGCUCUCUCAAUGGCUUACCCGACGUAUCCCCCUAAAAAAUGACCCAGAGAGCGGCGACCGAUGAGAUUUAAAAGCUACAAAAACCCUAGGUGGUUCAGCUCCGCCCACGCGAAAUUUAUUUUGACUCUUUACUGCUCACACUCCACGUAACACAUGUACUGCAACGGCAAUUCAAGGGGAUUUCUUUAAUAAAAAAGCAAUCUCUACCAUG